GAUCGAUUAGCAUGCGAGUCGAGAGGUGCAAGACCUCGGCAUACUGCUCAGUAACACGUGGAUAAUCUACCCUAUGGUGGGGGAUAACCCCGGGAAACUGGGGAUAAUACCCCAUAGACUAUGGAUGCUGGAAUGCUCUGUAGCCGAAAGGUCCGCCGCCAUAGGAUGAGUCUGCGGCCGAUUAGGUUGUUGUUGGGGUAACGGCCCAACAAGCCUGUAAUCGGCACGGGUUGUGGGAGCAAGAGCCCGGAGAUGGAUUCUGAGACACGAAUCCAGGCCCUACGGGGCGCAGCAGGCGCGAAAAACUUUGCAAUGCGGGAAACCGUGACAAGGGAACUCCGAGUGCCCGUAAAUUCGGGCUGUCCAUCAGUUUAAAUAACUGGUGAAGA
rnacentral:rRNA from 1 species